AAAAGAAUUAUCGCUGAUAGAUGGGCAUGCGUUCCAUUAGAUAGUUGGUGAGGUAACGGCUCACCAAGUCCACGAUGGAUAGGGGUUCUGAGAGGAAGGUCCCCCACACUGGUACUGAGACACGGACCAGACUCCUACGGGAGGCAGCAGUGAGGAAUAUUGGUCAAUGGGCGAGAGCCUGAACCAGCCAAGUCGCGUGAAGGAUGAAGGAUCUAUGGUUUGUAAACUUCUUUUAUAUGGGAAUAAAGUGAGGAACGUGUUCCUUUUUGUAUGUACCAUAUGAAUAAGCAUCGGCUAACUCCGUGCCAGCAGCCGCGGUAAUACGGAGGAUGCGAGCGUUAUCCGGAUUUAUUGGGUUUAAAGGGUGCGUAGGUGGUUAAUUAAGUCAGCGGUGAAAGUUUGUGGCUCAACCAUAAAAUUGCCGUUGAAACUGGUUGACUUGAGUAUAUUUGAGGUAGGCGGAAUGCGUGGUGUAGCGGUGAAAUGCAUAGAUAUCACGCAGAACUCCGAUUGCGAAGGCAGCUUACUAAACUAUAACUGACACUGAAGCACGAAAGCGUGGGGAUCAAACAGGAUUAGAUACCCUGGUAGUCCACGCAGUAAACGAUGAUUACUAGCUGUUUGCGAUACACAGUAAGCGGC
rnacentral:rRNA from 1 species